AUUGAACGCUGGCGGCAUGCUUUACACAUGCAAGUCGGACGGCAGCACAGAGAAGCUUGCUUCUUGGGUGGCGAGUGGCGAACGGGUGAGUAAUAUAUCGGAACGUACCGAGCAGUGGGGGAUAACUAAUCGAAAGAUUAGCUAAUACCGCAUAUAUUCUGAGGAAGAAAGCAGGGGACCAUUUGGCCUUGCGCUGUCUGAGCGGCCGAUAUCUGAUUAGCUAGUUGGUGGGGUAAAGGCCUACCAAGGCGACGAUCAGUAGCGGGUCUGAGAGGAUGAUCCGCCACACUGGGACUGAGACACGGCCCAGACUCCUACGGGAGGCAGCAGUGGGGAAUUUUGGACAAUGGGCGCAAGCCUGAUCCAGCCAUGCCGCGUGUCUGAAGAAGGCCUUCGGGUUGUAAAGGACUUUUGUCAGGGAAGAAAAGGGCGGGGUUAAUACCCCUGUCUGAUGACGUACCUGAAGAUAGCCCCG
rnacentral:rRNA from 1 species